rnacentral:rRNA from 1 species
AGAGUUUGAUCCUGGCUCAGGAUGAACGCUAGCGACAGGCUUAACACAUGCAAGUCGAGGGGCAUCGGGGAGUAGCAAUACUCUGCCGGCGACCGGCGCACGGGUGAGUAACGCGUAUGCAACUUACCUAUCAGAGGAGAAUAGCUCAUCGAAAGAUGAAUUAAUGCUCCAUGAAACAGGGGUCCCGCAUGGGAAUAUUUGUUAAAGAUUCAUCGCUGAUAGAUAGGCAUGCGUUCCAUUAGGCAGUUGGCGGGGUAACGGCCCACCAAACCGACGAUGGAUAGGGGUUCUGAGAGGAAGGUCCCCCACAUUGGUACUGAGACACGGACCAAACUCCUACGGGAGGCAGCAGUGAGGAAUAUUGGUCAAUGGCCGAGAGGCUGAACCAGCCAAGUCGCGUGAAGGAUGAAGGAUCUAUGGUUUGUAAACUUCUUUUAUACGGGAAUAAAGUGAGCCACGAGUGGUUUUUUGUAUGUACCGUAUGAAUAAGCAUCGGCUAACUCCGUGCCAGCAGCCGCGGUAAUACGGAGGAUGCGAGCGUUAUCCGGAUUUAUUGGGUUUAAAGGGUGCGUAGGUGGUUUCUUAAGUCAGCGGUGAAAGUUUGUGGCUUAACCAUAAAAUUGCCAUUGAUACUGGGAGACUUGAGUAUGUUUGAGGUAGGCGGAAUGCGUGGUGUAGCGGUGAAAUGCAUAGAUAUCACGCAGAACUCCGAUUGCGAAGGCAGCUUGCCAAGCCAUAACUGACACUGAAGCACGAAAGCGUGGGUAUCAAACAGGAUUAGAUACCCUGGUAGUCCACGCAGUAAACGAUGAUUACUAGGAGUUUGCGAUAUAGUGUAAGCUCUACAGCGAAAGCGUUAAGUAAUCCACCUGGGGAGUACGCCGGCAACGGUGAAACUCAAAGGAAUUGACGGGGGCCC